rnacentral:rRNA from 1 species
UACGAAGGGGGCUAGCGUUGCUCGGAAUCACUGGGCGUAAAGCGCACGUAGGCGGAUCUUUAAGUCAGGGGUGAAAUCCUGGAGCUCAACUCCAGAACUGCCUUUGAUACUGGGGAUCUCGAGUCCGGGAGAGGUGAGUGGAACUGCGAGUGUAGAGGUGAAAUUCGUAGAUAUUCGCAAGAACACCAGUGGCGAAGGCGGCUCACUGGCCCGAUACUGACGCUGAGGCACGAAAGCGUGGGGAGCAAACAGG